UACGUAGGCAGCAAGCGUUGUUCGGAGUUACUGGGCGUAAAGAGUGCGUAGGCGGUGCUCUAAGUUUGGUGUGAAAUCUCCCGGCUUAACUGGGAGGGUGCGCCGAAAACUGGAGUGCUUGAGUAUGGGAGAGGCAAGCGGAAUUCCUGGUGUAGCGGUGAAAUGCGUAGAUAUCAGGAGGAACACCUGUGGCGAAGGCGGCCCCCUGGUUGGAUACUGACGCUGAUACGCGAAAGCGUGGGGAGCAAACAGG
rnacentral:rRNA from 1 species